rnacentral:rRNA from 1 species
CCAGACUCCUACGGGAGGCAGCAGUGGGGGAUAUUGCACAAUGGGGGGAACCCUGAUGCAGCGACGCCGCGUGGGUGAAGGAGCGUUUCGGCGCGUAAAGCCCUAUCGGCAGGGAAGAAGGAGGACGGUACCUGACUAAGAAGCCCCGGCUAACUACGUGCCAGCAGCCGCGGUAAUACGUAGGGGGCAAGCGUUAUCCGGAUUUACUGGGUGUAAAGGGGGCGCAGACGGCAGCGCAAGCCAGGAGUGAAAGCCCGGGGCCCAACCCCGGGACUGCUCUUGGAACUGCGCGGCUGGAGUGCAGGAGGGGCGGGCGGAAUUCCUGGUGUAGCGGUGAAAUGCGUAGAUAUCAGGAGGAACACCGGUGGCGAAAGCGGCUCUCUGGUCUGUAACUGACGCUGAGGCUCGAAAGCGUGGGUAGCGAACAGGAUUAGAUACCCUGGUA